rnacentral:rRNA from 1 species
CCUACGGGCGGCAGCAGUGAGGAAUAUUGGUCAAUGGACGCAAGUCUGAACCAGCCAUGCCGCGUGCAGGAAGACGGCUCUAUGAGUUGUAAACUGCUUUUGUACGAGGGUAAACGCAGAUACGCGUAUCUGUCUGAAAGUAUCGUACGAAUAAGGAUCGGCUAACUCCGUGCCAGCCGCCGCGGUAAUACGGAGGAUUCAAGCGUUAUCCGGAUUUAUUGGGUUUAAAGGGUUCGUAGGCGGUCGGAUAAGUUAGAGGUGAAAUCCCGAGGCUCAACUUCGGAAUUGCCUCUGAUACUUGUCGGCUAGAGAGUAGGUGCGGGAGGCGGAAUGUAUGGUGUAGCGGUGAAAUGCUUAGAGAUCAUACAGAACACCGAUUGCGAAGGCAGCUUACCAAGCUACUUCUGACGUUGAGGCACGAAAGCGUGGGGAGCAAACAGGAUUAGAUACCCGAGUAGUC